AUCCAGCUGACGAUUCCACAAUGGGACAAAACGAGCGUCCUGGAU
rnacentral:hammerhead_ribozyme from 1 species